UCUCUUCGUUUCGGAGACCACCAUCCCCUUGGACUACUCCGAUCUACUGAACAAACUGUGCAUUGUUCUACCUCCUGCAAACACACUUGCUAGAUUGCGACUCCACGUCAAUACAGCCCCCCGCUGCACCACUCAAGGCCUAGCAACAUGCUGAACUCGUUGCACACUUCAGCCUCCUACAAACGUAUCCUUCACAUGCCGAAGAGAAAGUUUCAAUGCUCCAUGGCGCCGAGUUU
rnacentral:lncRNA from 1 species